rnacentral:sRNA from 1 species
CCACCGGUGCACCCAGUCCGCUCACCCAGCCCAGUCCGUCCGGUCCUCACCGCCUGCCGGCCGGCCCACCCCCCACCGCAGCCAUGGACGCCAUCAAGAAGAAGAUGCAGAUGCUGAAGCUGGACAAGGAGAACGCCAUCGACCGCGCCGAGCAGGCCGAAGCCGACAAGAAGCAAGCUGAGGACCGCUGCAAGCAGCUGGAGGAGGAGCAGCAGGCCCUCCAGAAGAAGCUGAAGGGGACAGAGGAUGAGGUGGAAAAGUAUUCUGAAUCCGUGAAGGAGGCCCAGGAGAAACUGGAGCAGGCCGAGAAGAAGGCCACUGAUGCUGAGGCAGAUGUGGCCUCCCUGAACCGCCGCAUUCAGCUGGUUGAGGAGGAGCUGGACCGGGCCCAGGAGCGCCUGGCUACAGCCCUGCAGAAGCUGGAGGAGGCCGAGAAGGCGGCUGAUGAGAGCGAGAGAGGAAUGAAGGUCAUCGAAAACCGGGCCAUGAAGGAUGAGGAGAAGAUGGAACUGCAGGAGAUGCAGCUGAAGGAGGCCAAGCACAUCGCUGAGGAUUCAGACCGCAAAUAUGAAGAGGUGGCCAGGAAGCUGGUGAUCCUGGAAGGAGAGCUGGAGCGCUCGGAGGAGAGGGCUGAGGUGGCCGAGAGUCGAGCCAGACAGCUGGAGGAGGAACUUCGAACCAUGGACCAGGCCCUCAAGUCCCUGAUGGCCUCAGAGGAGGAGGUAGUGACCCCUCUGAACCUUUCUGGGCAAUGGCGCCUUCUCUCAGCUCACCUUCCCUCCGUCUCAGCACCGCAGGCUGCUCUUUCUCAGCUGCUGGGGAUCAGGAAGGGCCUGGGGCUUCUGAGCCCUGCCUGCUGUCACUCUCACAACUUUGCUCUUCUCUUCUCUCCUCCACCCGUCCCCCGCUGUGCCAUCUCCACUGUCUGGCUUCGCUGUGCCCUCACACCCUGCCCCCCCCCGCCACACACCCCCUGCAGUAAAUGUGGGGACCUAGAGGAGGAGCUGAAAAUUGUUACCAACAACUUGAAAUCCCUGGAGGCCCAGGCGGACAAGGUAGAGGGGAGCAGAGGGGCAGUGAGGAUGGGGUCCCACAGGGGAGGGAGGUGAGGGGCCCAAGGCAGGGAGGGGCUGGGUGUUCAACGGAGGCAAGAUGACCAGGAGCCUACGGGGUACAAUGGAGAAAUGAAGGAUCUGUGGUAGCGCUGUACUGAUGGCGUGUGUGUGUCCCCAAAAGUAUUCCACCAAAGAAGAUAAAUAUGAAGAGGAGAUCAAACUGUUGGAGGAGAAGCUGAAGGAGGCUGAGACCCGAGCAGAGUUUGCCGAGAGGUCUGUGGCAAAGUUGGAGAAAACCAUCGAUGACCU